rnacentral:rRNA from 1 species
CGGGNUCUUGACAUCGAGCGCCAUCCCAAGAGAUUGGGAGUUCCCUUCGGGGACGUGAAGACAGGUGGUGCAUGGUUGUCGUCAGCUCGUGUCGUGAGAUGUUGGGUUAAGUCCCGCAACGAGCGCAACCCUUAUCAUUAGUUGCUACGCAAGAGCACUCUAAUGAGACUGCCGUUGACAAAACGGAGGAAGGUGGGGAUGACGUCAAAUCAUCAUGCCCUUCAUGACCCGGGCUACACACGUACUACAAUGGUGUUAAACAAAGAGAAGCGAAGCCGCGAGGUGGAGCAAAUCUCCAAAAGACAUCUCAGUUCAGAUUGCAGGCUGCAACUCGCCUGCAUGAAGUCGGAAUUGCUAGUAAUCGUAGGUCAGCAUACUACGGUGAAUACGUUCCC